GAUGAACGCUGGCGGCGUGCCUAAUACAUGCAAGUCGAGCGAACAGAUGAGGAGCUUGCUCCUCUGACGUUAGCGGCGGACGGGUGAGUAACACGUGGAUAACCUACCUAUAAGACUGGGAUAACUUCGGGAAAGCGGGGCUAAUACCGGAUAAUAUAUUGAACCGCAUGGUUCAAUAGUGAAAGACGGUUUUGCUGUCACUUAUAGAUGGACCCGCGCCGCAUUAGCUAGUUGGUAAGGUAACGGCUUACCAAGGCAACGAUGCGUAGCCGACCUGAGAGGGUGAUCGGCCACACUGGAACUGAGACACGGUCCAGACUCCUACGGGAGGCAGCAGUAGGGAAUCUUCCGCAAUGGGCGAAAGCCUGACGGAGCAACGCCGCGUGAGUGAUGAAGGUCUUCGGAUCGUAAAACUCUGUUAUUAGGGAAGAACAAAUGUGUAAGUAACUAUGCACGUCUUGACGGUACCUAAUCAGAAAGCCACGGCUAACUACGUG
rnacentral:rRNA from 1 species